rnacentral:pre_miRNA from 1 species
UUGACUCUUCGUUUUAUUUAAAAUUUUUUUGCGAUUGAUAUUCUUGUUUUUAUUAGAUGAUAAAUUAUAAAUAGUACUUUACGUGUGACUAAUUUUUUUAAAUUUUCUAAAAAUUUUUUAAAAUAAGAUGGAUGGUCAA